rnacentral:SRP_RNA from 1 species
UCAACAAGGGCGACGAAUCGCGGCUGAGGGAGGCAAAGCAGCAUUGCGAGCUUGCCGCACUUUAC